UACGGAGGGUGCAAGCGUUAUCCGGAUUCACUGGGUUUAAAGGGUGCGUAGGUGGGUUGGUAAGUCAGUGGUGAAAUCUCCGAGCUUAACUUGGAAACUGCCAUUGAUACUAUCAGUCUUGAAUAUUGUGGAGGUCAGCGGAAUAUGUCAUGUAGCGGUGAAAUGCUUAGAUAUGACAUAGAACACCAAUUGCGAAGGCAGCUGGCUACGCAUAUAUUGACACUUAGGCACGAAAGCGUGGGGAUCAAACAGG
rnacentral:rRNA from 1 species